UGGUCAAGUUAUUAAGGGUGCAGGGCGGAUGCCUUGGCACUAGGAGCCGAUGAAGGACGUGAUAAGCUGCGAUAAGCUUCGGGGAGUUGCACGUAAACUUUGAUCCGAAGAUUUCCGAAUGAGGAAACUCACUUAGAGUAAUGUCUAAGUAUCAUUAAGUGAAUACAUAGCUUAAUGAGGGGAACUCAGGGAACUGAAACAUCUAAGUACCUGAAGGAAGAGAAAGAAAUUCGAUUCCGUAAGUAGCGGCGAGCGAACGCGGAUUAGCCCAAACCAAUAAAGCUUUCUUUAUUGGGGUUG
rnacentral:rRNA from 1 species